rnacentral:rRNA from 1 species
GACGAACGCUGGCGGCGUGCUUAACACAUGCAAGUCGAACGCUGAAGCUUGGUGCUUGCACUGGGUGGAUGAGUGGCGAACGGGUGAGUAAUACGUGAGUAACCUGCCCUUGACUCUGGGAUAAGCCUGGGAAACUGGGUCUAUUACUGGAUACGACAUGUCACCGCAUGGUGGUGUGUGGAAAGGGUUUUACUGGUUUUGGAUGGGCUCACGGCCUAUCAGCUUGUUGGUGGGGUAAUGGCUCACCAAGGCGACGACGGGUAGCCGGCCUGAGAAGGUGACCGGCCACACUGGGACUGAGACACGGCCCAGACUCCUACGGGAGGCAGCAGUGGGGAAUAUUGCACAAUGGGCGGAAGCCUGAUGCAGCGACGCCGCGUGAGGGAUGACGGCCUUCGGGUUGUAAACCUCUUUCAGCACGGAAGAAGCGAAAGUGACGGUACGUGCAGAAGAAGCGCCGGCUAACUACGUG